GACGAACGCUGGCGGCGUGCUUGACACAUGCAAGUCGAACGGAAAGGCCCUGCUUUUGUGGGGUGCUCGAGUGGCGAACGGGUGAGUAACACGUGAGUAACCUGCCCUUGACUUUGGGAUAACUUCAGGAAACUGGGGCUAAUACCGGAUAGGAGCUCCUGCUGCAUGGUGGGGGUUGGAAAGUUUCGGCGGUUGGGGAUGGACUCGCGGCUUAUCAGCUUGUUGGUGGGGUAGUGGCUUACCAAGGCUUUGACGGGUAGCCGGCCUGAGAGGGUGACCGGCCACAUUAGGACUGAGAUACGGCCCAGACUCCUACGGGAGGCAGCAGUGGGGAAUAUUGCACAAUGGGCGGAAGCCUGAUGCAGCAACGCCGCGUGCGGGAUGACGGCCUUCGGGUUGUAAACCGCUUUCGCCUGUGACGAAGCGUGAGUGACGGUAAUGGGUAAAGAAGCACCGGCUAACUACGUG
rnacentral:rRNA from 1 species